GAACAUGUGGGUCUCAAUGUUUUAAGAGC
rnacentral:piRNA from 1 species